rnacentral:rRNA from 1 species
ACGCUGGCGGCAGGCCUAACACAUGCAAGUCGAGCGGAAACGACACUAACAAUCCUUCGGGUGCGUUAAUGGGCGUCGAGCGGCGGACGGGUGAGUAAUGCCUAGGAAAUUGCCUUGAUGUGGGGGAUAACCAUUGGAAACGAUGGCUAAUACCGCAUAAUGCCUACGGGCCAAAGAGGGGGACCUUCGGGCCUCUCGCGUCAAGAUAUGCCUAGGUGGGAUUAGCUAGUUGGUGAGGUAAUGGCUCACCAAGGCGACGAUCCCUAGCUGGUCUGAGAGGAUGAUCAGCCACACUGGAACUGAGACACGGUCCAGACUCCUACGGGAGGCAGCAGUGGGGAAUAUUGCACAAUGGGCGAAAGCCUGAUGCAGCCAUGCCGCGUGUAUGAAGAAGGCCUUCGGGUUGUAAAGUACUUUCAGUUGUGAGGAAGGGGGUARCGUUAAUAGCGYYAUCUCUUGACGUUAGCAACAGAAGAAGCACCGGCUAACUCCGUGCCAGCAGCCGCGGUAAUACGGAGGGUGCGAGCGUUAAUCGGAAUUACUGGGCGUAAAGCGCAUGCAGGUGGUUCAUUAAGUCAGAUGUGAAAGCCCGGGGCUCAACCUCGGAACUGCAUUUGAAACUGGUGAACUAGAGUACUGUAGAGGGGGGUAGAAUUUCAGGUGUAGCGGUGAAAUGCGUAGAGAUCUGAAGGAAUACCAGUGGCGAAGGCGGCCCCCUGGACA